UACAGAGGUCCCAAGCGUUGUUCGGAUUCACUGGGCGUAAAGCGUGCGCAGGCGGUUUUGUAAGCCAGAUGUGAAAGCCCCGGGCUUAACCUGGGAAUGGCAUUUGGGACUGCAAGGCUUGAGUGCGGCAGAGGAGACUGGAAUUCCCGGUGUAGCAGUGAAAUGCGUAGAUAUCGGGAGGAAUACCGAUGGCGAAGGCAGGUCUCUGGGCUGACACUGACGCUCAUGCACGAAAGCGUGGGGAGCAAACAGGG
rnacentral:rRNA from 1 species